CAGUCGCCGCGGUAAUACGUAGGGUGCAAGCGUUAAUCGGAAUUACUGGGCGUAAAGCGUGCGCAGGCGGUUAUAUAAGUCAGAUGUGAAAUCCCCGGGCUCAACCUGGGAACUGCAUUUGAGACUGUAUGGCUAGAGUGUGUCGGAGGGGGGUAGAAUUCCACGUGUAGCAGUGAAAUGCGUAGAUAUGUGGAGGAAUACCGAUGGCGAAGGCAGCCCCCUGGGAUAACACUGACGCUCAUGCACGAAAGCGUGAGGAGCAAACAGGAUUAGAUACCCCAGUAGUCCCUGUCUCUUAUAC
rnacentral:rRNA from 1 species